UGCUGCGGAACCAGCCUCUAACUGCCUGCAA
rnacentral:piRNA from 1 species